GGGGUCCUACGGGAGGCAGCAGUGAGGAAUAUUGGUCAAUGGCCGGGAGGCUGAACCAGCCAAGUCGCGUGAGGGAAGACGGCCCUACGGGUUGUGAACCUCUUUUGUCAGGGAGCAAGGUGCAGGUCGGGACCUGCUGUGAGAGUACCUGAAGAAAAAGCAUCGGCUAACUCCGUGCCAGCAGCCGCGGUAAUACGGAGGAUGCGAGCGUUAUCCGGAUUUAUUGGGUUUAAAGGGUGCGCAGGCGGAGGCACAAGUCAGCGGUAAAAUCGCGGGGCUCAACCCCGCUCCGCCGUUGGAACUCC
rnacentral:rRNA from 1 species